UUUACCAACAGUGCACACUUCAUUCUCUCCAUGCAGGCAGACGAGGGUAAUGAAACGAAUGAUUCCUUGGAGCCUUUAAAUUCCCUGUCACUUCUUUGCAAAAAUAGAGCAAGCAUCUCAAGUGCAAAAACCCAGAAGCAGCAAAUAUCUUUGCAUCCUGAAAGGAGAGGACGACCUAUUGGCUUUUGAAGAGUAACUGGAGUACAGCGCUCAAGGAAUAAAACCAUCACCGCUGAACCAGAAUACAAAUAAACUCCAUCUAGACCCGCACACGGAAAAUGAACUCUCUGCCAUGAGAAGUCUUGGUCUUUUCUUAAUAAUCCGCCCUCCCAAAGAGAAGUCUUAGCCAAAAUAAGAAAGUCAAGUCCGUUAUUUCCUAAGGGCCACAGAAGCAAAACAUUCAACCUGAAAACAAGAAUUGUAAAACUGGACAGCGUUGUGAGAAGAGGUUACCCCUGGGUGGUAUCAGAGGUCAGGUUUCCAAGAAAGUUUUUAAAAAGAAAAUAACUAUGAAAGACACCAAAUCAAUUCUCUGGUCUGAGCAAUUUCCUUUUCUUUGGAAAGCUCCUUCCAGAGCAGCUUACUCUAGAACUCCGGAGGCUGUGUCCCUUUGGACUUUAUCCAUAUUUUCACAGUAAAGGUCAAGAGUGUCUCCCCCUUCUACUUUCGGGGCUCCACCUCAUAGAGGAGCUCCCUAAGGAAAUCCACCAGGCCAUCUUCCAAACGAAGUUUUAAAAAAAGAAGAAGAAAUAAAUCACCCCCAUCACCAACCUCACUUGUGGCUGUCUUGAAAAGCAGCCUUUGCUCUGAAAGCAAGGAAAAGCAACAUAAAAAAGACUCACGGUAAAGGAAGCUCCAUCCACAAAGCAAAAUAUGAGGACCUGUUUUGCAGAAAUUCUCCAAGAAUCGCAAAAACACCUCCAUCACUCCAAAUUGGAGCAUGCCACAAGACUUUACAGAAUGAUCAAAGCUAGAUUCUCCAAGAUUUAUGAGACAAG